rnacentral:rRNA from 1 species
GAUUUCUGGGGCGAUGCGCCUGGCCCAUUGUAGUAAUACAGUGAGUGCUGGAGUGCGUCCCCCAUUCUUCUAGAGAAUGGUAAUACCCUUCAUUGGGCGGUAUCACGAUCUAGAUCUUUUACUUUGAAAAAAUUAGAGUGUUUAAAGCAGGCUUUUGCUAUGAAUACAUUAGCAUGGAAUAAUAAUCUAGGACUUCGGUUCUAUUUUGUUGGUUUCUAUAACUGAAGUAAUGAUUGAUAGGGAUAGUUGGGGGUGCUAGUAUUGGCCGGCCAGAGGUGAAAUUCUUGGAUUCGGUCAAGACUAACUUAUGCGAAAGCAUU